UGAGUUUGAUCCUGGCUCAGAAUGAACGCUUGCGAUAGGCUUAACACAUGCAAGUUGAACGUGUAAGACACGUAGCGAACGGGUGCGUAACAUGUGGGAAUCUACCCGUACAUAAAGGUAAAUCCUUUUUAAAAGAUCUGUGAUCGCGUAUGGAUGAGCCUGCACAAGAUUAGAUAGUUGGUGUGGGAAGGGCGCACCAAGUCGAGGAUCUUUAGCUGAUCUUAGCGGAUGAUCAGCCACACUGGGACUGAGACACGGCCCAGGCUCCCAUGGGAGACAGCAGUGAGGAAUCUUGGACAAUGCACGAAAGUGUGAUCCAGCUAUAUCGCGUGGACGAUGAAGGGUAUUUUGCUUGUAAAGUCCUUUCAGCAAUAAACAUGUUUUUACAUGGAGCCAUAAUGACAGCUCUUGCAGAAGAAGCCCCGGCUAAUUUCUGUGCCAGCAGCCGCGGUAAUACAGAGGGGGCAAGUGUUAUUCGGAAUAAUUGGGCGUAAAUGGCGUGUAGGUUGUGCUUCGUAGUUGUCGGUUAAAUCCCCAUCGAUAUGGUGGGCAUGGCUGAUAGAACGGUUGCACUGGAGAAUGGGAGAGGAAACGGGAAUUUCGAGUGGAGAAGUUAAAUUCUUAGAUAUUCGAAGGAAGGCCAAAUGCGAAGGCACAUUUCUGGCUCAUUUCUGACACUGAGGCGCGAAGGCGUGGGGAGCGAAGCCGAUUAGAUACCGGCGUAGUCCACGCAGUCAACUAUGCUGUAUUCCUCUUUGGAAGGCAAAAAAAAACAACAUCUAUAUGCUUUUUAGCAUAUAGAUGUAUGACAUCAAUGCUUCAAAAAAGCAUCAACUGUUUGUUUCUGGGCCUUUGAAAACAAGUAUAUGGUCCAGGCGAGGUAGCUCAGUUGGUUAGAGCGCAGGAUUCAUAAUCCUGUUGUCGGCAGUUCAAGUCUGCCUCUCGUCAAACGUAUUUUGUGGAUGCCUUAGGCUCAUACUCACAAUGGGCGCUUUACGAUGCGAAACGUUGUAUCUUAGACAUCAUUCUGUUAGGUGCAAAUCCCCACUGUGGAAAACCACAUUUUGAAGACACGAGGAGAAUUGAAACAUCUUAGUAUCCUCUAGGAAAAGAAAUCAACCGAGAUUCCGUUAGUAUUGGCGAAAGAACGCGGAAAAGGCUAUAAAAGAAAAAAGUGUAAAACAUGGUGGAAUCCAUUGACC
rnacentral:rRNA from 1 species